rnacentral:rRNA from 1 species
CAACGAGUCGCAAGACCGCGAGGUUUAGCAAAUCUCUUAAAGCCGUUCUCAGUUCGGAUUGUAGGCUGCAACUCGCCUACAUGAAGUCGGAAUCGCUAGUAAUCGCGAAUCAGAAUGUCGCGGUGAAUACGUUCCCGGGUCUUGUACACACCGCCCGUCACACCACGAGAGUUUACAACACCCGAAGUCAGUGGCCUAACCGCAAGGAGGGAGCUGCCUAAGGUGGGGUAGAUGAUUGGGGUGAAGUCGUAACAAGGUAAC